rnacentral:sRNA from 1 species
CUGUCUGUGACAUCUGUUACCCUAUUGAUCUCCAGGGUUGAUUCGGCCCAUCUGGCUGGCUAGGCGGGUGUCUCCU